rnacentral:rRNA from 1 species
CCUACGGGAGGCAGCAGUGGGGAAUAUUGCACAAUGGGGGAAACCCUGAUGCAGCGACGCCGCGUGAGUGAAGAUGUAAUUCGUUAUGUAAAGCUCUAUCAGCAGGGAAGAGUAGAAGACGCUACCUGUCAAAUAAGCCACGGCUACCUACGUGCCAGCAGCCGCGGUAAUACGUAGGUGGCAAGCGUUGUCCGGAUUUACUGGGUGUAAAGGGCGUGUAGCCGGGUUGACAAGUCAGAUGUGAAAUCCUGCGGCUUAACCGCAGAACUGCAUUUGAUACUGUUGAUCUUGAGUACUGGAGAGGCAGACGGAAUGCCUAGUGUAGCGGUGAAAUGCGUAGAUAUUAGGAGGAACACCAGUGGCGAAGGCGGUCUGCUGAACAGCAACUGACGGUGAGGCGCGAAAGCGUGGGGAGCAAACAGGAUUAGAUACCCGUGUAGUC